ensembl:lncRNA
ACAGGCAGUAGAUGCAGCACAGACAGACAGCAGAUGCAGCACAGACAGACAGACAGACAGUAGAUGCAGCACAGACAGACAGACAGACAGUAGAUGCAGCACAGACAGACAGACAGACAGACAGUAGAUGCAGCACAGACAGACAGACAGACAGUAGAUGCAGCACAGACAGACAGACAGACAGACAGUAGAUGCAGCACAGACAGACAGACAGCAGAAGGACUACACAAGACAGUAGGGAUGCAACGUGUCUGAGUGAAGUUGAAUUGUGGAUGCACAGACUGUUCUGAUGUCUCAAGUGUGUGUGUGUGUGUGUGAAAAUGAGUGUGUGUGUGUGUGUGUGCGCGUGCUCACAAUAGUCCUUAGUGCUGCUCUGAGUGCACUGAUAAGUGCAUAUGUGUUGUGAAAUAGUGAACGCACAGACUGUGUGAUGCUCUAGUGCUAUGUGCUUGUGUAUAUGAGUGAAUAUGUGAUUUGAGACAGUGGAUGCACAGUCCUCUGUAGUUAGCAUUUCAGUGUGUGUGUGUGUG